rnacentral:tRNA from 1 species
UGGGGUAUAGCUCCGUGGUAGAGCACAUGCAUGCAUGAGGUCCUGGGUUCAAUUCCUAGUACCUCCA